GGCGCCGGAGCGGCCGGCUGACAUGCGCACGGGGCUCCGACUCCUGGGACGCGCCGCCGCGGUGGUCGUCGUCGUCCUGGGCGGCGCGGCGCUCC
rnacentral:tRNA from 1 species